rnacentral:rRNA from 1 species
CCUACGGGAGGCAGCAGUGAGGAAUAUUGGUCAAUGGCCGGAAGGCUGAACCAGCCAUGCCGCGUGAAGGUCAGUGCCCUAUGGGCGUUAAACUUCUUUUGUGCGGGAGCAAUAAUGGUCACGUGUGGCCAGACGAGAGUACCGUACGAAUAAGCAUCGGCUAACUCCGUGCCAGCAGCCGCGGUAAUACGGGUGAUGCAAGCGUUAUCCGGAGUUAUUGGGUUUAAAGGGUGCGUAGGCUGUGCGGUAAGUCAGCGGUGAAAUGCCCCCGCGCACCGGGGUGAAGUGCCAUUGAUACUGGCUAGCUGGAAUGCGGAUGCCGUGGGAGGAAUUUGUGGUGUAGCGGUGAAAUGCAUAGAUAUCACACAGAACACCGAUUGCGAAGGCAUCUCACGAAGCCGCGAUUGACGCUGAUGCACGAAAGCGUGGGUAUCAAACAGGAUUAGAUACCCCAGUAGUC